GAUGAAGAACGCAGCGAAAUGCGAUACUUGGUGUGAAUUGCAGAAUCCCGUGAACCAUCGAGUCUUUGAACGCAAGUUGCGCCCGAAGCCAUUUGGUUGAGGGCACGUCUGCCUGGGCGUCACAUAUCGUUGCCCGAUGCCUAUUGCACUGUGAUAGGAAAUUCUAGGGCGAAAGAUGGCUUCCCGUGAGCGUUGUUGCCUCGCGGUUGGUUGAAAAUUGAGUCCUUGGUAGGGUGUGCCAUGAUGGAUGGUGGUUGAGUGAUGAUGCUCGAGACCAAUCAUGGGUAACUCCACCAGAAUUGGGCUCGGUGACCCACAUGCGUCCCUUGGAUGCUCCCUAAGGAGACCUCAGGUCAGGCGGGGCUACCCGCUGAGUUUAAGCAUAUCAAUAAGCGGAGGA
rnacentral:misc_RNA from 1 species